GACUCUAAUUAAUAGAUAUACGGCGUAAAGCGUGUUUAAGAGCCCUUCCCCACAAUAAAGCCAAACUUUAGCUAGGCUGUAAAAAGCUACAGCUAUCGGAAGUCCUACCACGAAAGUAACUUUAAAUUAUCUGAACACACGACAGCUGAGACCCAAACUGGGAUUAGAUACCCCACUAUGCUCAGCCUUAAACCUAAAAAAUUAGCACAACAAAAUUUUUCGCCGGAGUACUACUAGCCAAAGCUUAAAACUCAAAGGACUUGGCGGUGCUUUAUAUCCUUCUAGAGGAGCCUGUUCUAUAAUCGAUAAACCCCGAUAAACCCCACCAACCCUUGCCAAUU
rnacentral:rRNA from 1 species